GAUGAACGCUAGCGGCAGGCUUAACACAUGCAAGUCGAGGGGUAGAAGUUGCUUGCAACUUUGAGACCGGCGCACGGGUGCGUAACGCGUAUGCAACCUACCUUUUACAGAGGGAUAGCCCAGAGAAAUUUGGAUUAAUACCUCAUAGUAUAUAACCUUCGCAUGUUGGUUAUAUUAAAGUUCCAACGGUAAAAGAUGGGCAUGCGUCCUAUUAGCUAGUUGGUGUGGUAACGGCACACCAAGGCGACGAUAGGUAGGGGUCCUGAGAGGGAGAUCCCACACACUGGUACUGAGACACGGACCAGACUCCUACGGGAGGCAGCAGUGAGGAAUAUUGGACAAUGGGCGCAAGCCUGAUCCAGCCAUGCCGCGUGCAGGAAGAAGCAUCUAUGGUGUGUAAACUGCUUUUGUACCUGAAGAAUAGGCCCAACGUGUUGGGAUUUGCCGGUAAGGUAUGAAUAAGCAUCGGCUAACUCCGUGCCAGCAGCCGCCGUAAAAC
rnacentral:rRNA from 1 species